rnacentral:rRNA from 1 species
GUGCUGCCCACUCACUAACCUUAUCUCUUUAUCUCCAACCUCUCUCUAGCUCGCUUUCGGUGUUCGCCGCCGACGAGUUUCUUCCCGUGCUCAGCCCAAUAUACUCUGUUGUCGUGCUGCCGUUCGCCCCCACCGUCAUCACCGACGUUUUUUUGUUGCAGCACUCGGCCCCAACCUCCUCUUCUCCCAUGGCGCCAGAUCCAUAGCCAUGGCCGCGCUCCUCCCCUUCUUCAUCGUCGUGGCGCCGGGGAAGCUUCAACGGUGGACGGCGGGGACGCAUGGCCCCAAGAUGCUGCGACCAGCGCAAGAUUUUGGAACUGGCUCGGCCUCGAGCUGCAACCGGCUCGGCCAGAGCUGCAUCCGGCGUGGGGCGGUGCUGGAACCGGCUCGGCCUCGAGCUGCAACCGGCUCGGCCAGAGCUGCAUCCGGCGUGGGGCGGUGCUGGAAUGACGGCGACGUCGUGCUACAAUCGGCGACGCAAGAUGCUGGAACCGGCUCAGCCGUGAGCCGCAACCUCGAUGCCUGGAUGCUGGAUCCUGCACCCAUCUUAGCUGCAAC